rnacentral:rRNA from 1 species
AGAGUUUGAUCCUGGCUCAGAAUCAACGCUGGCGGCGCGCUUAACACAUGCAAGUCGCACGAGAAAGUGGAGCAAUCCAUGAGUAAAGUGGCGUACGGGUGAGUAACACGUGGAUCAUCUACCUCUUAGUGGGGAAUAACCCUGGGAAACCGGGGCUAAUACCGCAUAAGCCUGAGAAGGGAAAGCAGCAAUGCGCUGAGAGAGGAGUCCGCGGCCGAUUAGCUAGUUGGUAGGGUAAAGGCCUACCAAGGCAAUGAUCGGUAGCCGGCCUGAGAGGGCACACGGCCACACUGGCACUGAAACACGGGCCAGACUCCUACGGGAGGCAGCAGUGGGGAAUCUUGCACAAUGGAGGAAACUCUGAUGCAGCGACGCCGCGUGAGCGAUGAAGCCCUUCGGGGUGUAAAGCUCU